rnacentral:rRNA from 1 species
AACAACCCAGACCGCCGGCUAAGGUCCCAAAGUUCUGGUUAAGUGGGAAACGAUGUGGGAAGGCUCAGACAGCUAGGAUGUUGGCUUAGAAGCAGCCAUCAUUUAAAGAAAGCGUAAUAGCUCACUAGUCGAGUCGGCCUGCGCGGAAGAUGUAACGGGGCUCAAACCAGGCACCGAAGCCGCGGAUUCACACUUAUGUGUGAGUGGUAGGGGAGCGUUCUGUAAGUCUGCGAAGGUGUAUCGAGAGGUAUGCUGGAGAUAUCAGAAGUGCGAAUGCUGACGUAAGUAACGAUAAAGGGGGUGAAAAGCCUCCUCGCCGGAAGACCAAGGGUUCCUGUCCAACGUUAAUCGGGGCAGGGUGAGUCGACCCCUAAGGCGAGGCCGAAAGGCGUAGUCGAUGGGAAGCAGGUUAAUAUUCCUGCACGACUUGUAAUUGCGAUGGGGGGACGGAGAAGGCUAGGUGGGCCAGGCGACGGUUGUCCUGGUGAAAGUGCGUAGGUGGUGUUUCUAGGCAAAUCCGGAGACACAACACUGAGACACGAGACGAACGCACUACGGUGCGGAAGCCAUUGAUGCCCUGCUUCCAGGAAAAGCCUCUAAGCUUCAGAUUACAAGUCAUCGUACCCCAAACCGACACAGGUGGUCGGGUAGAGAAUACCAAGGCGCUUGAGAGAACUCGGGUGAAGGAACUAGGCAAAAUAGAACCGUAACUUCGGGAGAAGGUUCGCUCUUGAUGGUGAAGUCCCUUGCGGAUGGAGCUGUCGGGAGUCGCAGUGACCAGAUGGCUGGGACUGUUUAUCAAAAACACAGCACUCUGCAAACACGAAAGUGGACGUAUAGGGUGUGACACCUGCCCGGUGCCGGAAGGUUAAUUGAUGGGGUUAGCGCAAGCGAAGCUCUUGAUCGAAGCCCCGGUAAACGGCGGCCGUAACAAUAACGGUCCUAAGGUAGCGAAAUUCCUUGUCGGGUAAGUUCCGACCUGCACGAAUGGCGUAACGAUGGCCACACUGUCUCCUCCAGAGACUCAGCGAAGUUGAAAUGUUUGUGAUGAUGCAAUCUCCCCGCGGAAAGACGGAAAGACCCCAUGAACCUUUACUGCAACUUGGCAGUGAUUUUCGGGUUGUUCUGCGUAGGAUAGGUGGGAGGCGUUGAAACCGGGCUUCUGGGUUCGGUCGAGCCACCGUUGAAAUACCACCCUGGACAAUCUGGGAUUCUAACCUGCUUCCGUGAACCGGAAGAGGGACACUGCCUGGCGGGCAGUUUGACUGGGGCGG